rnacentral:rRNA from 1 species
GCCUAAAAUCUAGCCCACACAAAUCUUAUGUAAUCCUCAACCUAUUGUUCUACAACAAAACAUUUUUAUAUUCUAGUACAGGAGAUCGAAAAAUUCCUAAGAGCUUCAGAUAAAGUACCGCAAGGGAACGAUGAAAUAAAAAUGAAAUAAUUCUAAAGCCCUAAAUAGCAAAGAUAAGCCCUUGUACCUUUUGCAUCAUGGUCUAGCCAGUCUUACCAAGCAAAAAGAAAUUUAAGUUUGCCACCCCGAAACUAAACGAGCUACUUUAAAACAGCCCCAAAGGGCCAACCCGUCUCUGUUGCAAAAGAGUGGGAAGAUUUUUAAGUAGAGGCGAUAAACCUACCGAGCUUAGAGAUAGCUGGUUGUUCAGGAAAAGAGUUUUAGCUCUACCUUAAGUUUUUUUGUUAUACCCAUAACUCCCCCAAACUUAAGAGCUAUUCAAAUAAGGCACAGCUUAUUUGAAACAGAAUACAACCUCCAACACUGGGUAAAUCAAAGUGAUCCAAAUAAAGUGGGCCUAAAAGCAGCCAUCUUUUAAAAAGCGUCAUAGCUUAACUUCCAUCACAUCCUAAUUUAUUAAACCCCUUUCAACCCUUCACCAAUACUGAACUAUUUUAUAUUUUUAUAAAAAUAAUUAUGCUAGAACUAGUAACAAGAAAUUUGUCCUUCUCCAAAUUGCAAGUAUAAAUCAAAACGACACCCCAAUGAUAAUUAACGUAAAUACAUAAAAUAUAGUAACAAAUAUCUAGAAAAUUCUAUAACCCCAGACGUUAACCUUACACCAGAGCACUACAGGAAAGAUUAAAAGAGAAAGAAGGAACUCGGCAAAAUUCAGCCCCGCCUGUUUACCAAAAACAUAGCCUCUUG